rnacentral:rRNA from 1 species
UGCCUACGGGGCGCAGCAGUGGGGAAUAUUGCACAAUGGGGGAAACCCUGAUGCAGUGACGCCGCGUGAGUGAAGAAGUAUCUCGGUACGUAAAGCUCUAUCAGCAGGGAAGAAAAAAAGUCUUUGGCUUUGGACGGUACCUGACUAAGAAGCCCCGGCUAACUACGUGCCAGCAGCCGCGGUAAUACGUAUGGAGCAAGCGUUAUCCGGAUUUACUGGGUGUAAAGGGAGCGCAGACGGCAAGGCAAGUCUGAUGUGAAAGUCCGAGGCUCAACCUCGGGACUGCAUUGGAAACUGUCUGGCUA